UGGGGAAUAUUGGGCAAUGGGGGCAACCCUGACCCAGCGACGCCGCGUGAGGGAAGAAGGUUUUCGGAUUGUAAACCUCUGUCUUCGGGGACGAUAGUGACGGUACCCGGAGAGGAAGCCACGGCUAACUACGUGCCAGCAGCCGCGGUAAAACGUAGGUGGCAAGCGUUGUCCGGAAUUACUGGGUGUAAAGGGAGCGCAGGUGGGCAGGCAAGUCGAAUGUGAAAUCUACGGGCUCAACUCGUAAAUUGCGUUCGAUACUGCAUGUCUUGAGUGGAGUAGAGGCAGGCGGAAUUCCCGGUGUAGCGGUGGAAUGCGUAGAUAUCGGGAGGAACACCAGUGGCGAAGGCGGCCUGCUGGGCUCUAACUGACACUGAGGCUCGAAAGCGUGGGUAGCAAACAGG
rnacentral:rRNA from 1 species